CAAUCCCACAGGAUUUAUAUAGAGGUCUUUCAAUCCCACAGGAUUUAUAUAGAGGUCUUUCAAUCCCACAGGAUUUAUAUAGAGGUCUUUCAAUCCCACAGGAUUUAUAUAGAGGUCUUUCAAUCCCACAGGAUUUAUGUAGAGGUCUUUCAAUCCCACAGGAUUUAUAUAGAGGUCUUUCAAUCCCACAGGAUUUAUAUAGAGGUCUUUCAAUCCCACAGGAUUUAUAUAGAGGUCUUUCAAUCCCACAGGAUUUAUAUAGAGGUCUUUCAAUCCCACAGGAUUUAUAUAGAGGUCUUUCAAUCCCACAGGAUUUAUGUAGAGGUCUUUCAAUCCCACAGGAUUUAUAUAGAGGUCUUUCAAUCUAGAACAGGAUUUAUAUAGAGGUCUUUCAAUCCCACAGGAUUUAUAUAGAGGUCUUUCAAUCCCACAGGAUUUAUAUAGAGGUCUUUCAAUCUAGAACAGGAUUUAUAUAGAGGUCUUUCAAUCCCACAGGAUUUAUAUAGAGGUCUUUCAAUCCAGAACAGGAUUUAUAUAGAGGUCUUUCAAUCCCACGUGGAAAAUGUAAUGUGGACAGCACAUCAGGGUCAGACUAACAUGUAUGCUUUUGAAGUAAACUAUCCCUAGUGACUGACCGUAGGGAUGUAGUAUGAACAUAUAGGACAAUACAAGGGACCUGUGGU